GCCAAUUUGGUCUAGUGGUCAAGGCACAUGGCUAAAACCAGGAGACGGUGGGUUCUAGCCCCACUUUAGGCA
rnacentral:tRNA from 1 species